UGGGGAAUAUUGCGCAAUGGGGGGAACCCUGACGCAGCCAUGCCGCGUGAAUGAAGAAGGCCUUAGGGUUGUAAAGUUCUUUCGGUAUUGAGGAAGGUUGAUGUGUUAAUAGCACAUCAAAUUGACGUUAAAUACAGAAGAAGCAUCGGCUAACUCCGUGCCAGCAGCCGCGGUAAUACGGAGGGUGCGAGCGUUAAUCGGAAUAACUGGGCGUAAAGGGCACGCAGGCGGUUAUUUAAGUGAGGUGUGAAAGCCCCGGGCUUAACCUGGGAAUUGCAUUUCAGACUGGGUAACUAGAGUACUUUAGGGAGGGGUAGAAUUCCACGUGUAGCGGUGAAAUGCGUAGAGAUGUGGAGGAAUACCGAAGGCGAAGGCAGCCCCUUGGGAAUGUACUGACGCUCAUGUGCGAAAGCGUGGGGAGCAAACAGGAUUAGAUACCCUGGUAGUCCACGCUGUAAACGCUGUCGAUUUGGGGGUUGGGGUUUAACUCUGGCGCCCGUAGCUAACGUGAUAAAUCGACCGCCUGGGGAGUACGGCCGCAAGGUUA
rnacentral:rRNA from 1 species